rnacentral:rRNA from 1 species
GAGUUUGAUCUUGGCUCAGAUUGAACGCUGGCGGCAGGCCUAACACAUGCAAGUCGAGCGGUAGAGAGAAGCUUGCUUCUCUUGAGAGCGGCGGACGGGUGAGUAAUGCCUAGGAAUCUGCCUGGUAGUGGGGAAUAACGCUCGGAAACGGACGCUAAUACCGCAUACGUCCUACGGGAGAAAGCAGGGGACCUUCGGGCCUUGCGCUAUCAGAUGAGCCUAGGUCGGAUUAGCUAGUUGGUGAGGUAAUGGCUCACCAAGGCGACGAUCCGUAACUGGUCUGAGAGGAUGAUCAGUCACACUGGAACUGAGACACGGUCCAGACUCCUACGGGAGGCAGCAGUGGGGAAUAUUGGACAAUGGGCGAAAGCCUGAUCCAGCCAUGCCGCGUGUGUGAAGAAGGUCUUCGGAUUGUAAAGCACUUUAAGUUGGGAGGAAGGGCAGUAAAUUAAUACUUUAGCUGUUUUGACGUUACCGACAGAAUAAGCACCGGCUAACUCUGUGCCAGCCGC